AUUGAACGCUGGCGGCAUGCUUGACACAUGCAAGUCGAACGGUAACAGGGGCUUCGGCCCGCUGACGAGUGGCGGACGGGUGAGUAAUGCGUAGGAAUCUACCCAGUAGCGGGGGAUAGCUCGGGGAAACUCGGAUUAAUACCGCAUACGCCCCUUAUCAUAUUGAUUGGGGGGAAAGCAGGGGAUCUUCGGACCUUGUACUAUUGGAUGAGCCUACGUCUGAUUAGCAGUUGGCAGGGUAAAAGCCUACCAAGGCAACGAUCAGUAGCUGGUCUGAGAGGACGAUCAGCCACACUGGGACUGAGACACGGCCCAGACUCCUACGGGAGGCAGCAGUGGGAAUAUUGACAAUGGGCGAAAGCCUGAUCCAGCAAUGCCGCGUGUGU
rnacentral:rRNA from 1 species